CCGUCUUGCCCUGUCUGGCGCCCUGUCUGCGCACGCGGUCAGUGACGGGUGCGCCCGAAAGCGCAAGAGAGA
rnacentral:snoRNA from 14 species